UCCCAGGUGUCUCAGUGAUAUAGAAUCUGCCUGCAAUGCAGGAGAUGCAAGUUCAAUCCCUGGGUUGGGAA
rnacentral:tRNA from 1 species